rnacentral:piRNA from 1 species
UCCCACAGAAUGAACUCAGUGCUACC